CGCGUAGGCGGUUUUUUAAGUCUGAUGUGAAAGCCCACGGCUCAACCGUGGAGGGUCAUUGGAAACUGGAAAACUUGAGUGCAGAAGAGGAAAGUGGAAUUCCAUGUGUAGCGGUGAAAUGCGUAGAUAUUAGGAGGAACACCGGAGGCGAAGGCGGCUUACUGGACGACAACUGACGUUGAGGCUCGAAGGCGUGGGGAGCAAACA
rnacentral:rRNA from 1 species